rnacentral:rRNA from 1 species
AGUCAAGUAAUUAAGUGCAUGUGGUGGAUGCCUUGGCAGUCAGAGGCGAUGAAAGACGUGAUAGCCUGCGAAAAGCUCCGGGAGGCGGCAAAUAUCCUUUGAUCCGGAGAUGUCUGAAUGGGGGAACCCACCUACUUUAAGGUAGGUAUUGCAACAUGAAUACAUAGUGUUGCAAGGCGAACGAGGGGAAGUGAAACAUCUCAGUACCCUUAGGAAAAGAAAUCAAUUGAGAUUCCCUCAGUAGCGGCGAGCGAACGGGGAUCAGCCCAUUAAGUUAUGUGUGUUUUAGUGGAACGCUCUGGGAAGUGCGAACGUAGAGGGUGAUAUUCCCGUACACGAAAGGGCACACAUAAUGAUGACGAGUAGGGCGAGGCACGUGAAACCUUGUCUGAAUAUGGGGGGACCAUCCUCCAAGGCUAAAUACUCCUGACUGACCGAUAGUGAACCAGUACCGUGAGGGAAAGGCGAAAAGAACCCCUGUGAGGGGAGUGAAAUAGAUCCUGAAACCGCAUGCAUACAAGCAGUGGGAGCACCUUCGUGGUGUGACUGCGUACCUUUUGUAUAAUGGGUCAGCGACUUAUAUUCAGUAGCGAGGUUAACCGUAUAGGGGAGCCGUAGAGAAAUCGAGUCUUAAUAGGGCGUUUAGUUGCUGGGUAUAGACCCGAAACCAGGCGAUCUAUCCAUGAGCAGGUUGAAGGUUGGGUAACACUAACUGGAGGACCGAACCCACUGUCGUUGAAAAGCCAGGGGAUGACUUGUGGAUAGGGGUGAAAGGCUAAUCAAGCCUGGUGAUAGCUGGUUCUCCCCGAAAGCUAUUUAGGUAGCGCCUCGGACGAAUACCAUAGGGGGUAGAGCACUGUUUCGGCUAGGGGGUCAUCCCGACUUACCAAACCGAUGCAAACUCCGAAUACCUAUGAGUACUAUCCGGGAGACAGACUGCGGGUGCUAACGUCCGUAGUCAAGAGGAAAACAAUCCAGACCGCCAGCUAAGGCCCCAAAAUCAUAGUUAAGUGGGAAACGAUGUGGGAAGGCAUAGACAGCUAGGAGGUUGGCUUAGAAGCAGCCACCCUUUAAAGAAAGCGUAAUAGCUCACUAGUCGAGUCGGCCUGCGCGGAAGAUGUAACGGGGCUAAAACUAUGUGCCGAAGCUGCGGAUGUAUACUUUGUAUACGUGGUAGGGGAGCGUUCUGUAAGCCGAUGAAGGUGUGUUGAGAAGCAUGCUGGAGGUAUCAGAAGUGCGAAUGCUGACGUGAGUAACGACAAAACGGGUGAAAAACCCGUUCGCCGAAAGACCAAGGGUUCCAGUCCAACGUUAAUCGGGGCUGGGUGAGUCGACCCCUAAGGCGAGGCCGAAAGGCGUAGUCGAUGGGAAAAUGGUUAAUAUUCCAUUACUUCUGUGUAAUGCGAUGAGAGGACGGAGAAGGCUAAAUCAGCCUGGCGUUGGUUGUCCAGGUGAAAGGAUGUAGGCAUGUAUCUUAGGCAAAUCCGGGGUACUCUAUGCUGAGAUCUGAUAGCAAGCUGUACUUGUACAGCGAAGUGGUUGAUGCCAUGCUUCCAGGAAAAGUCUCUAAGCUUCAGUUACACAGGAAUCGUACCCGAAACCGACACAGGUGGUCAGGUCGAGUAGACCAAGGCGCUUGAGAGAACUCUGUUGAAGGAACUAGGCAAAAUGGUACCGUAACUUCGGGAGAAGGUACGCUGUUGUUGGUGAUGGAACUCGCUUCCUGAGCUGACGACAGCCGCAGAAACCAGGCCGCUGCAACUGUUUAUUAAAAACAUAGCACUCUGCAAACACGAAAGUGGACGUAUAGGGUGUGAUGCCUGCCCGGUGCUGGAAGGUUAAUUGAUGGGGUUAGCGUAAGCGAAGCUCUUGAUCGAAGCCCCAGUAAACGGCGGCCGUAACUAUAACGGUCCUAAGGUAGCGAAAUUCCUUGUCGGGUAAGUUCCGACCUGCACGAAUGGCAUAAUGAUGGCGGCGCUGUCUCCAGCAGAGGCUCAGUGAAAUCGAAAUCGCUGUGAAGAUGCAGUGUACCCGCGGCUAGACGGAAAGACCCCGUGAACCUUUACUGCAGCUUGACACUGAACUUUGACCUUACUUGUGUAGGAUAGGUGGGAGGCUUUGAAGCUGGAACGCUAGUUCCAGUGGAGCCGUCCUUGAAAUACCACCCUGGUAAUGUUGAGGUUCUAACUCUGUCCCGUGAUCCGGGACGAGGACCGUGUCUGGUGGGUAGUUUGACUGGGGCGGUCUCCUCCUAAAGAGUAACGGAGGAGUACGAAGGUGCGCUCAGCGUGGUCGGAAAUCACGCGUAGAGUAUAAAGGCAAAAGCGCGCUUAACUGCGAGACCCACAAGUCGAGCAGGUACGAAAGUAGGUCUUAGUGAUCCGGUGGUUCUGUAUGGAAGGGCCAUCGCUCAACGGAUAAAAGGUACUCUGGGGAUAACAGGCUGAUACCGCCCAAGAGUUCAUAUCGACGGCGGUGUUUGGCACCUCGAUGUCGGCUCAUCUCAUCCUGGGGCUGAAGCAGGUCCCAAGGGUAUGGCUGUUCGCCAUUUAAAGAGGUACGCGAGCUGGGUUUAGAACGUCGUGAGACAGUUCGGUCCCUAUCUACCGUGGGCGCUGGAAAUUUGAGAGGAUCUGCUCCUAGUACGAGAGGACCAGAGUGGACGAACCUCUGGUGUACCGGUUGUGACGCCAGUCGCAUCGCCGGGUAGCUAUGUUCGGAAGGGAUAACCGCUGAAAGCAUCUAAGCGGGAAGCCUACCUCAAGAUAAGAUUUCCCUAGGACUUUAUGUCCUCUAAAGAGCCGUUCGAGACUAGGACGUUGAUAGGUUGGAUGUGGAAGCAUAGUGAUAUGUGAAGCUGACCAAUACUAAUUGCUCGUGAGGCUUGACUAU